AUUCAGCUGAUGAGUCCCAAAAUAGAACGAAACGCACGCCUUGGAU
rnacentral:hammerhead_ribozyme from 1 species